UUUGGAGUGUAGUUUGAGGA
rnacentral:siRNA from 1 species